rnacentral:rRNA from 1 species
UGGGGAAUUUUGGACAAUGGGCGAAAGCCUGAUCCAGCAAUGCCGCGUGUGUGAAGAAGGCCUUCGGGUUGUAAAGCACUUUUGUCCGGAAAGAAAUCCUUGGCUCUAAUACAGUCGGGGGAUGACGGUACCGGAAGAAUAAGCACCGGCUAACUACGUGCCAGCAGCCGCGGUAAUACGUAGGGUGCAAGCGUUAAUCGGAAUUACUGGGCGUAAAGCGUGCGCAGGCGGUUUGCUAAGACCGAUGUGAAAUCCCCGGGCUCAACCUGGGAACUGCAUUGGUGACUGGGCAGGCUAGAGUAUGGCAGAGGGGGGUAGAAUUCCACGUGUAGCAGUGAAAUGCGUAGAGAUGUGGAGGAAUACCGAUGGCGAAGGCAGCCCCCUGGGCCAAUACUGACGCUCAUGCACG